rnacentral:rRNA from 1 species
UACGUAGGGUGCGAGCGUUAAUCGGAAUUACUGGGCGUAAAGCGUGCGCAGGCGGUUUUUUAAGACAGGCGUGAAAUCCCCGGGCUUAACCUGGGAACUGCGUCGGAUACUGGAUGGCUUGAAUCCGGGAGAGGGAUGCAGAAUUCCAGGUGUAGCGGUGAAAUGCGUAGAUAUCUGGAGGAAUACCGGUGGCGAAGGCGGCAUCCUGGACCGGCAUUGACGCUGAACGGCGAAAGCUAGGGGAGCAAACGGG